rnacentral:lncRNA from 1 species
GGGAGGUGGCUGCAGAGCCAUUCUUAAAGGGGCCCAAGAGAUCAUACGGCAACGGACGGCUGACGACCGGAAGGAAAAUGAGUGAGUCUUUGGUGGUUUGUGAUGUUGCUGAAGAUUUAGUGGAAAAGCUGAGAAAGUUUCGUUUUCGAAAAGAAACCCACAAUGCUGCUAUUAUAAUGAAGAUUGACAAGGAUAAACGCUUGGUGGUGCUGGAUGAGGAGCUCGAGGGUGUCUCUCCAGAUGAACUUAAAGAUGAACUACCUGAACGGCAACCUCGACCUUCAUUGUGUAUAGUUAUAAAUACCAGCACGACGAUGGCCGGGUCUCCUACCCUCUGUGCUUUAUCUUCUCCAGUCCUCUGGGGUGCAAACCUGAGCAGCAGAUGAUGUACGCUGGGAGUAAGAACAAGCUGGUCCAGACCGCCGAGCUAACUAAGGUAUUUGAAAUAAGAAACACCGAAGACCUAACUGAAGAAUGGUUACGUGAGAAACUUGGAUUUUUCCACUAAUGUGAACUUCUGUGUUUCUAAAGUAUUUAUGUAUUAACCUGACCAUACUGGAACCAGACAUAAAUAGUUAUUUAUGCCUAAAAA